rnacentral:rRNA from 1 species
UACGUAGGGUGCAAGCGUUGUCCGGAAUUAUUGGGCGUAAAGAGCUCGUAGGCGGUCUGUCGCGUCUGCUGUGAAAACUCGGGGCUUAACCCCGGGCCUGCAGUGGGUACGGGCAGACUAGAGUGCGGUAGGGGAGACUGGAAUUCCUGGUGUAGCGGUGAAAUGCGUAGAGAUCUGGAGGAACACCGAUGGCGAAGGCAGCCUUCUGGGCCAACACUGACGCUCAUGCACGAAAGCGUGGGGAGCAAACAGG